UACGUAGGGCGCAAGCGUUAUCCGGAAUUAUUGGGCGUAAAGAGCUCGUAGGCGGUUUGUCGCGUCUGCCGUGAAAGUCCGGGGCUCAACUCCGGAUCUGCGGUGGGUACGGGCAGACUAGAGUGAUGUAGGGGAGACUGGAAUUCCUGGUGUAGCGGUGAAAUGCGCAGAUAUCAGGAGGAACACCGGCGGCGAAGGCGGGUCUCUGGGCCAUAACUGACGCUGAGGAGCGAAAGCGUGGGGAGCAACAGGAU
rnacentral:rRNA from 1 species